AUGCUUCUCACCCCUUUAAUACCUAAAAGAUUUCAAACUCCAGCACAGGGACAUCUUUCUUUGGGUUUGUACAGUAACUACCACGAUGGGCCUCUGAUCACGGCCUGAGUGCUGCCCUCAUAAGCACAAAGGCCCUGCACAGACUGCACACAGCCAGGACUGAGACACAGCCAGGGUUUGGUAACUCAGUAUUUAAUGUCCACUGCAGGACUAGGUGUUUAGACAUCUAAAUCAACAACCAGAUUUUCUAAGCCCUUCCACAGCAGUAACUCAGAAUGCCAGACCCAGACAGGCAGCACACAAGGACCUUCCUGCACACUGUGCUAGACCAGGAGUGCUGACAUCAAAGAUCUCCAAGCCACAAGUCCAGGUGUCAGUUCUUUUACAUUGUGCAGCUUUCAUGAUGAAAUUCCUGAUCUUCUUGUUCGCCCUUCAACUUUGAAAAGCAAAGAACCAGACAGAUCUGAGAAAAGGAAACUCAGUGAAGGGUAACGAACACAGUGUCUCUGAAUCCACAGCAAGUAAACUACAAAUAUGAUCAUUUAGUAAAUAUCAUAAAACUUG